AGUGAACGCUGGCGGUAGGCCUAACACAUGCAAGUCGAACGGCAGCACAGUAAGAGCUUGCUCUUACGGGUGGCGAGUGGCGGACGGGUGAGGAAUACAUCGGAAUCUACUUUUUCUUGGGGGAUAACGUAGGGAAACUUACGCUAAUACCGCAUACGACCUACGGGUGAAAGCAGGGGAUCUUCGGACCUUGCGCGAUUGAAUGAGCCGAUGUCGGAUUAGCUAGUUGGCGGGGUAAAGGCCCACCAAGGCGACGAUCCGUAGCUGGUCUGAGAGGAUGAUCAGCCACACUGGAACUGAGACACGGUCCAGACUCCUACGGGAGGCAGCAGUGGGGAAUAUUGGACAAUGGGCGAAAGCCUGAUCCAGCCAUACCGCGUGGGUGAAGAAGGCCUUCGGGUUGUAAAGCCCUUUUGUUGGGAAAGAAAAGCAGCAGGUUAAUACCCCGAUGUUCUGACGGUACCCAAAGAAUAAGCACCGGCUAACUUCGUG
rnacentral:rRNA from 1 species